AUGAAGCUGGAUUCGCUAGUAAUCGCGCAUCAGCCACGGCGCGGUGAAUACGUUCCCGGGCCUUGUACACACCGCCCGUCACACCAUGAGAGUUGGGGAUACCCGAAGCCUGUGAGCUAACAGUAAUGGAGCAGCAGUCGAAGGUAGAAUCAAUGAUUGGGGUGAAGUCGUAACAAGGUACC
rnacentral:rRNA from 1 species